UACGAAGGGGGGCUAGCGUUGUUCGGAAUCACUGGGCGUAAAGGGCGCGUAGGCGGCCGAUCAAGUCGGGGGUGAAAGCCUGUGGCUCAACCACAGAAUUGCCUUUCGAUACUGUUUGGCUUGAGACCGGAAGAGGUUAGUGGAACUGCGAGUGUAGAGGUGAAAUUCGUAGAUAUUCGCAAGAACACCAGUGGCGAAGGCGGCUGACUGGUCCGGUUCUGACGCUGAGGCGCGAAAGCGUGGGGGAGCAAACAGG
rnacentral:rRNA from 1 species